GCAACGAUAGGCGCGCUUGGUGUCGUCUAUGGCGAUAUCGGGACCAGCCCGCUCUAUGCCUUGAAGGAAGCAGCGAAGGCGGCAACCCAUCAUGGCGGCGCCCUCACCAACGAAGCCAUUCUCGGCGUGGUCUCACUGAUCCUCUGGGCGCUAAUCCUCAUCAUUUCGUUCAAGUACGCCAUGCUGAUCAUGCGGGCAGAUAACCGCGGCGAAGGCGGAAUCG
rnacentral:misc_RNA from 1 species